rnacentral:rRNA from 1 species
UGGGGAAUAUUGCACAAUGGGCGCAAGCCUGAUGCAGCCAUGCCGCGUGUGUGAAGAAGGCCUCGGGUUGUAAAGCACUUUCAGCGAGGAGGAAGGUGGUGAGCUUAAUACGCUCAUCAAUUGACGUUACUCGCAGAAGAAGCACCGGCUAACUCCGUGCCAGCAGCCGCGGUAAUACGGAGGGUGCAAGCGUUAAUCGGAAUUACUGGGCGUAAAGCGCACGCAGGCGGUUUGUUAAGUCAGAUGUGAAAUCCCCGGCUCAACCUGGGAACUGCAUUUGAAACUGGCAAGCUAGAAUCUCGUAGAGGGGGUAGAAUUCCAGGUGGUAGCGGUGCAAAUGCGUAGAGAUCUGGAGGAAUACCGGUGGC